rnacentral:rRNA from 1 species
CACUCCUACGGGAGGCAGCAGUGGGGAAUAUUGCACAAUGGGCGCAAGCCUGAUGCAGCCAUGCCGCGUGUAUGAAGAAGGCCUUCGGGUUGUAAAGUACUUUCAGCGGGGAGGAAGGCAAUACGGUUAAUAACCGUGUUGAUUGACGUUACCCGCAGAAGAAGCACCGGCUAACUCCGUGCCAGCAGCCGCGGUAAUACGGAGGGUGCAAGCGUUAAUCGGAAUUACUGGGCGUAAAGCGCACGCAGGCGGUCUGUCAAGUCGGAUGUGAAAUCCCCGGGCUCAACCUGGGAACUGCAUUCGAAACUGGCAGGCUUGAGUCUUGUAGAGGGGGGUAGAAUUCCAGGUGUAGCGGUGAAAUGCGUAGAGAUCUGGAGGAAUACCGGUGGCGAAGGCGGCCCCCUGGACAAAGACUGACGCUCAGGUGCGAAAGCGUGGGGAGCAAACAGGAUUAGAAACCCUUGUAGUCCCAUG